GUUAGGUCUAUUCCAUACUUCUCAUUGUUGAUUUUACAGGUUACCACAGAACUUUAGAGGUGGAAAUACUUGAGAAUACAGAGACACAUCCAGCACAGAUCCUUUUAACCACUGUUGUCGUUGUUCUGGUUCUUCAGCCCAAAUUUGGAUUUGGCUCGCUUGAUGCUGGACGAUUAAUGAAGGAAGCCCUAACUGGACAAAUGUUGGUCUCCUGAGACAAUGUGUUGUUGAUAACAGGUCUGAUUUGAGCAAGUCCAGUCAAAUUCAAUUUUAAUAGUAUUUAAAGGCACACGUAGGACACAUAUUACUGAGUUUUGGGCUGGUUU
rnacentral:lncRNA from 1 species